CCCAGGUGGAUAAUUUGUAUCUGAGCUCAGAAGGUUGAUUGCCAUUAUUCUGAGUCCAGUGGGAAUCCUGCUAGGACCCCUGGAUGAUGUGCCCCCCUGGUAGUCCCUCCCACUCAGCUCUUCCUGGAUUCUCACCAGUGCUCUGGAGUCACUCCACCUUACUGUUUACCACAGGUCAGAAUGGAACGGUCACAUUCUCAGGAAAGUUAUGCAUGGGUACUGCAACUCCCCCCUCACCCAGAUAAAAUUUUCAGGUAAUUAUAUACUUUUGUUGUUGUUAUUUUUCUGGAUUAAUAAGCUCCAAACAACACCUUUGUUUCCUGGG
rnacentral:lncRNA from 1 species